UACAGAGACCUCAAGCGUUAUCCGGAUUUAUUGGGCGUAAAGGGUCCGUAGGUGGUUUUGUCAGUCAUUCGUUAAAUCUUCAGGCUCAACCUGGAGGCCGCGAGUGAUACUGCAAGACUAGAGGAUGGGAGAGGCAGAUGGAAUUACUGGUGUAGCGGUAAAAUGCGUUAAUAUCAGUAAGAACACCAAAGGCGAAGGCAAUCUGCUGGAACAUUCCUGACACUGAGGGACGAAAGCGUGGGUAGCGAAUCGG
rnacentral:misc_RNA from 1 species